AAAGAUUCAUCGUCAUUUUUUACUUCAAACAUAAACAGAAUUUUUAAUUAUUUGAACAUGCAUUAUGUAUUCUUGGUCAGGAUAAACUUUGAAGUGGUUUGUUUUUUGUUUUUAGGAAAUGAUAUUUAGGGGAACUGACACGGUGGCAAUUCUGCUAGAGUGGACUCUGGCUCGGAUGGUUCUCCACCCUGAAAUCCAAGCAAAGGCACAGCGCGAAAUAGACUUCGUUUGCGGAUCCUCCAGGCCCGUAUCCGAAGCAGACAUUCCGAACCUGCGCUACCUUCAGUGCAUAGUAAAAGAAACCCUUCGUGUGCACCCACCAGGCCCGCUAC
rnacentral:lncRNA from 1 species